rnacentral:snRNA from 1 species
UUAAAAAAAAAAAAUAAAUAAAAUUGGAACGAUACAGAGAAGAUUAGCAUGGCCCCUGCGCUAGGAUGACACGCAAAUUCGUGAAGCGUUCCAUAUUUUU